AAACCGCUGCCAGGGGGGCAUUUGAACUCCGCCGCUUGCUGUCUCGCUGUCCCCUCUCUGCCCCGCGCACCUCGCUCCCCCCUCCCGGCCGGCGCUCGCAGUGGCGCGCCUGCUCGCUCUCCCGCUACCCGACGAGUCCUCAACAAGUUGGAGGAAGGCAGGAACGCAGGGGUUAAGCUCGGAAAGCCGCAAUUACCAAGAUCGUGACCCUCCCACACAGUACAGUAACUUAUAUACUUACCUGGAAGAGCCCGCUUUGCCGCCGGGCAAACACCCGUGGGGGGCGGGGAGGGGCCGGAGGGAGCUGGCCGGCAGGAGAGGUGCUCCUUCCAGCUGGCUGCAGUGCGGACGGGACCGGCGCGCUCCCGUGGCCCCCAGACCGAGGUGGUCAGACCUGUCCUGACACCCAGAGGUCUGCAUGAGGGAAGGCCACUGAAGGAGGAGUUCUGAAAGGCCACAGGUGAUGAAGAGCUUGGAUGAAUGAACUUAGAAGUCCCAGGAGUCUCCUGUUGAAGAAAGAAUCUAAAGAAAUACAUAAGUUCCAGGGAAUUUUCCUCUAAGACUAAUAACAACAAGAUAGCUUUGCCUUUAUUUAUUUAUAUUCGUUAUUUUUUACACAUGAAAAAUACGUGUCUUCUUCAGAGAUCCUGGGUUAGAAUUUUUUAUUUUCCUUGUCCUGAUUGAAGAAGAAUCUCAAACACUGAUGCUGUUUUUUAUUAUUUCAAGAAGAAUUUUGGAUGGUGCUUGACAACUUAUGCCUUCUAUAAAAAGAAGAAAUAUUCUUUUACACUCUGUAUAUUAAAGAUAUUGUCCAACUGACAUUUCACCAAACAAAGAAAUCGAGCCACCUUGCGCUGUACAUUUUUGUUUAAAUAUUUGGGAGCUAUUGUUUUCAGAGUCAUCCAUGGUAAUAAUGGCCAACUCAAAAAAUGUCCUACUGAAGGGUCGAUUAAAUAUUGGCUCAGUUUCCACAUUUGUAGCCCAUGUCUUCCCUCCUUUUAGUUCUUCCCAAAACAAGGCAGGGUAUGCCUCCCACUCAGAAACUACUUGCAAAAUUCCAUAUCAUAAGAUGCUGAGCUUGAAAUUACGAAACAUCAUCAUCAGUUUCUGAGGACUUCAGAACUAGAAGUCAAACAGAAACUUCAUGGUUUAGGAACCAAGGACCUGAAAUACAACUUCUAAGCUGGAUUGGUAUUGGUUCCAAGGUUAAAAAUAAAGGACCACAGUUUUAUUGUC